UGGGGAAUAUUGCACAAUGGGGGAAAGCCCUGAUGCAGCGACGCCGCGUGAAGGAAGAAGUAUCUCGGUAUGUAAACUUCUAUCAGCAGGGAAGAAAAUGACGGUACCUGACUAAGAAGCCCCGGCUAACUACGUGCCAGCAGCCGCGGUAAUACGUAGGGGGCAAGCGUUAUCCGGAUUUACUGGGUGUAAAGGGAGCGUAGACGGAUCUGCAAGUCUGGAGUGAAAGCCGGGGCGUCAACCCCGGCAGUGCUUUGGAAUGACUGUGGAUCUAGAGUGCCGGAGAGGUAAGCGGAAUUCCUAGUGUAGCGGUGAAAUGCGUAGAUAUUAGGAGGAACACCAGUGGCGAAGGCGGCUUACUGGACUGUAACUGACGUUGAGGCUCGAAAGCGUGGGGAGCAAACAGGAUUAGAUACC
rnacentral:rRNA from 1 species